AUAUAGCCAAGGGUAAGACAAACACUGUAGUUUGGAGGGAUAGCUACCACUUUUUAUAGUAGUCUUUAAUCUAGAUGUAUUCUGAUCUUUAUUUAGAGAGGGGUCUGUCCAAGCCGAGAUUCCAUUGUUUAUAGAAAAAAAUUAGUAUCUCUGGAGGUCACUAUGGAAAUCGGAGUUAAAUUUUAGGAUAGUAUAUAUGUUAAAAUGGAACAACCUCUUACCUUAUUGUCUAUUAAGCUAAAGGAGAAUCCCAGUGCAGUUGAGAAGUGAAUUUUAGUUUUAUGUAUUUUGUCCUGUUCUUCCAUGAUAUUCAACAUAAGCUAUAUUUUUCUUCGUUAUAGUAGUAAAUUUGUCCCGGUAAAA
rnacentral:lncRNA from 1 species